rnacentral:piRNA from 1 species
UNGGAAGCUGUGCUAGAGGAUGCUGCCC